rnacentral:rRNA from 1 species
AGAUUCCGGAGAGGGAGCCUGAGAAACGGCUACCACAUCUAAGGAUGGCAGCAGGCGCGCAAAUUACCCAAUCCUGACACAGGGAGGUAGUGACAAGAAAUAACAACACGGGCUUUACAGUUUUGUGAUUGGAAUGAGUAGAAAUUAAGCCUCUUUACAAGUAUCAAUUGGAGGGCAAGUCUGGUGCCAGCAGCCGCGGUAAUUCCAGCUCCAAUAGCGUAUAUUAAAGUUGUUGCAGUUAAAAAGCUCGUAGUUGAAUUGCUGCAGAAUGCGGCAUCUUGCGGCUCUAGGGUUGUCUUGGUGUUUGCUUCUGCUUUCUGGCGGCUGCCUCUUGAUGCUUUAUUGUAUCAGGGGUUGUCGCUGGCGUUUUUACUUUGAGAAAAUUAGAGUGUUUCAAGCAGGCUGUUGCCUU